UCAUUUUGGGGGCACCAAUCCAACAUUAAUGACAAUUUGGCAUCAUCAAGUAUCGGAUGCAAACUGAAGAAUGAACAAGGUAAUGGCAUGAGAGACUGUUCCCAGGUGGCGAUUUAUACAGGAGAAAAUUGGUAGCUUACAUUGUUCCAGCAAUCCUGGUGCUAAUAUGGGUCUUGUCAUCUUCGGAAAGCUUAGCCAAACCAAAGUCAGAGAUCUUAGGGUUAAGGUCCCCAUCAAGUAGUACAUUGGUAGCCUUGAUGUCCC